ACACACACACACACACACACACACACAUAUAUAUAUAGAUAUAUAGAUAUAGAUAUAGAUAUGUAUAUAUGUGUGUGUGUGUGUGUAUUUGUGUGUGU
rnacentral:miRNA from 1 species